rnacentral:rRNA from 1 species
AUUGAACGCUGGCGGCAGGCCUAACACAUGCAAGUCGAGCGGGCGGCGGAAGGGAGAGUAAUGUAUGGGGAUCUGCCCGAUAGAGGGGGAUAACUACUGGAAACGGUGGCUCAAACCGCAUUGUUUCGGAUGAACCCCUUUUGGAUUAGCUAGUUGGUGGGGUAAAGGCUCACCUAGUCUACUAACUCGAACUGGUCUGAGAGGAUGAUCAGUCACACUGGCACGUAGACACGGCCCAGACUCCUACGGGAGGCAGCAGUGGGGAAUAUUGCACAAUGGGCGCAAGCCUGAUGCAGCCAUGCCGCGUGUAUGAAGAAGGCCUUAGGGUUGUAAAGUACUUUCAGUGGGGAGGCGUUACCCGCAGAAUAAGCACCGGCUAACUCCGUGCCAGCAGCCGCGGUAAUAC